ACAUCUUAAACAUCGGUUCCCGUAAGAUCACCGAAGUUAAGCAACGUCGAGUCUGGUCAGUACCUAAAUGGGUGACUGCUUGGGAAUGCCUGGUG